AGAGUUUGAUCAUGGCUCAGAUUGAACGCUGGCGGCAGGCCUAACAUAUGCAAGUCGAGCGGAAACGACAACAUUGAAUCUUCGGAGGAUUUGUUGGGCGUCGAGCGGCGGACGGGUGAGUAAUGCCUAGGAAAUUGCCUUGAUGUGGGGGAUAACCAUUGGAAACGAUGGCUAAUACCGCAUAAUGCCUACGGGCCAAAGAGGGGGAUCUUCGGACCUCUCGCGUCAAGAUAUGCCUAGGUGGGAUUAGCUAGUUGGUGAGGUAAUGGCUCACCAAGGCGACGAUCCCUAGCUGGUCUGAGAGGAUAAUCAGCCACACUGGAACUGAGACACGGUCCAGACUCCUACGGGAGGCAGCAGUGGGGAAUAUUGCACAAUGGGCGAAAGCCUGAUGCAGCCAUGCCGCGUGUAUGAAGAAGGCCUUCGGGUUGUAAAGUACUUUCAGUUGUGAGGAAGGGGGUAGUGUU
rnacentral:rRNA from 1 species